CACUAUUGAGGCCUAGCUAGACUGAACGCUCCAACCUUGAAGACUUCAACUCCCAGAAGCCUUAGCUGGCUUACUCAAUUGUUUGGAAUUAUGGGAACUGAAGUCCAAAAGCUUUUAGGACCAAACCAUUGCCAUAGGGGACCAAAGAAAAUCCUCUAAAAUGUCAUUUUAAAAAAAGAAGCCACAAUGAAAACCAAUGAGGCAACAAGACAGUAAAAAUCUUCAGCCCUUGUAGAAAUCAUCAUCGUAAAUGUCAUGUGGUUUAAUAAGAAAAGUUGAAGAGAUAUAUCAAGUGGUUUAAUAAGGAAAGUUGAAAAGAAGAAAGCCAUCAAAAGGAAGCUGUGGGUUUGGAUAUGUUUAAGAGAUCUAGAGAUCUUGGUAACCACAUUCCAAGCUGUUUAAUGUUGCCUUAGGGCAAUAUCUUGAAUUCUUGUCCAAUAUCUUGAAUUCUUGUCUUGUCUCUAAACAACAAAUUACUCUUCAACCCCUUGGUUCCUGCAGUUUAGGACUUACUUCAAUUAAUCCAUUGGUGCCACUAAUGGUUACUCGAUUCGGCAGUCGGUUCGCCAUGCUGUAGGUGAGGACAGCCUGUCGUUGGCCUGAAUAGUUCAGGAUGAUUGAUGCCAUUUUAUCUACUUCUGGAGGGGGAAAAUAAACACAUUCAACUGUCCAUGUCUUUCAAGGUCUAAUGAUAUACUCAGCAAGCACUAACCUGUGUCAUGCAAGAAUCCUGUGGCCACAAUGGAUUGUGGCUUCUCUCCAUUGAAGACCAUACAAGCCAAAUGGACACAGUAGAUGCCGAUAUCCAGCAAGGCACCACCCCCAAGCUCCUUUUCCACACACCUGGGGACUGAGAGCAGAGGUAUACCAAAUUCAACAUGUAAUACCACCACGUCUCCCACCACACUUUGCCUCAGCAGGGAACGGAUUUUCUCCGAAGCUGGGAAAAAACGGGUCCAGAAAGCCUGAUGGAGAAAAUGAAGAAAUUAGUCUGAGACAACCUCAAGCUAUGUGAUUUUUCUAGGUCUAUUUCUUGUACCUUUUCCAAGUCUACAGUGUCCAGUACAAUAGACUCUACAUAAAGAAACAGUCGAUGCUACCCAAAGGAGAUCAUUGGCCUUUUCUGCUGCAGCACCACAAACCAUGCUAAGCAAGAUGGUGCUCCAUCAUAGGUGGACCCACCAUUUAUGUAUAGCUUGGAAAAAUGAGGAUUGUAGACUACAACAGCCAGCGUAUCCUAGCCAGCGUGACUAUCCAAGUCAGUUGGAAGACCAUGAGAACUGUCUUGCAAAGGUUCUCUGCUUACCUCCAUAAAGAAAACGUUCUUUUCCCGAGCUGCCUGCACCAUUGCCUUGACCUCAGCAGUAUUCAUGCCCAGUGGUUUCUCACAAAGCACAUUUUUCCCAGCCUGGAUGAAGAGGAGGGUGACUGGAAGGUGAUAAGGGUGUAUCACUCCCACAUAUACCACAUCUGUGAAAAUAAAGGAAGCUAAGAAAUCUCUCAAGCUGAGCUUUGCCAUAAAGAAACAUUCAGCCCAUCUUUCUGUCCUAAAAGCGGUGAAUGAGAAAGGGAAAGGAAAGAUCUUCAGAGGCCUCUUUCACCUUCUAUUACUCCCCUUGAGCUUCUUUCACUUCUGCUGAUAAGUUCCAGCAAGACCUUGGAAGUAAAUAAAACAAUUUAUUGUAAUUGAUUUAUUUCUUGCAAUAACAAAGAGGCAGGUUUAUUAUACAGUAGACUCUUAGUAAAGCAACAUCCAUGAGGAUAAAUGCUGGAUACCAGAUAAAUGUAUAUUCUGGUUCCUUGAGAGUGGCUAUUAAAAACAGAUCUAAUAGUAUAUCAUAUUAUAAACUCUAUUGACUGGCAUUCAUACUGAAAUACAGUAAUUAAAAGCAAAUAAAGAGAAAUAAAUGCAAACCUAAUCUAGUAGUUUUACUAUAUUAUAAAAAUAGCUUUCAUUGAAAGCAUUUCUUUGAUAUUUAUUUAUUUAUUAUUUAUUAUUUAUUUCCGAUAUUUCUACCCCGCCCUUCUCCCCUAGGGGACUCAGGGCGGCUUACACAGCUGGCAGGAUCACUACCAGUUUAUCAUAAUACAAUAAAAUAAUAAAACAGUUAAAAUAGUUAAAAACAUAAUAAAAUACAAUAUAUAAAAGAUUUAACACAGUGCAACGCCAAAUAUAUAUGCCAAUCAUCCAUCAGACCUUGUACAAGAGCCUUAAUCCAAUCAAUUUUUCUGCCAGUUGCUUGAAAAUUCCAAUUAUUUGAGGGCCCUUCCACACAUCCCUAUAUGCCAGAAUAUCAAGGCAGAAAAUCCCACAAUAUCUGCUUUGAAUUGGGCUAUCUGAGUCCACACUGCCAUAUGUUCCAGUUCAAAGCAGAUAAUAUGGGGUUUUAUUCAGCUGUGUGGAAGGGGCCUGAGAGUCUACUGUGCUGCUAUUGUACUAUCAUGGGGAAUAACUUCACCAUUUUAGCAAUGUAGUUAUAACUGGCACAUAAUGUAAUUAUGGCAGUUUGAUUCCACUUUAACUGUCAUUUUAUGGACUCCUGGGAGUUCUAGUUUAUAGAGUGUUAUUUAAAAUCCUCAGCCAGAGAGUUCCAAACUACAAACCCCAGGAUUUAGAAGGAGGCAAAGACAAAUCUCUCUCUGGCAAGAAAAUGACCAUUAUAGGGUUGCCUUAGGGUCUCCAUAAUUGAACAACAAUCACAACAACAAUCCUUUCUCUUUUCAAGAGCCCCUGGGUUUUGAUAUAGUAUGCUAACCAACAUCUGGAUCCUCAGCCAGUUCUUUAUAGGAACCAUAUGCCUUGGGGAUGCUGUGAUUCUUGGCAUAUUCCUGAGCCCGGCUGAGGUCUCGAGAAGCAAUUGCCACCACCUGGAAGUAAUAGGGGCCAGGGAAAGGUUAAAUUAAAUAGUUUGGGAUAGAUUUACCGGAAGGAAAAUCUUCAUCACACUUGUUCAAACCCUCCAGCAUUUAUUGGUUGAUUUAAAUACCCCUUUUGAUAUCCAGUUGAUCCGUUUAAAAGAGCCAGCAUGGGAUAUUGAUUAUAGUGUAGGACUAUGACUAUGGGAGACCAGGGUUGCUCCACCACAGAAACCCACUGGGUGACCUUGAACAAGUGACAGUCUCUCAGUUUUAGAGAAGACAAAGGCAAGCCCCUUCUGAAUAAAUCUUGCCAAGAAAACCCUGUGAUAAGCUUGCUUUAGGGGUGCCAUACACUGGAAAUCACCGGAAGGCACACACACAAAAAAUAAUCUGAAAAUUAUGGUAGGGACAACCCCAAUUAGUCCUCCAUAUGCCCAAUUUUCAACUGCUUUUUAUCACAUCCUAUGGUGCAUCUACACUGGAGAAUUAAUGCAGUUUGACUCCACUUUAACUGCCAUGGCUGAAUGUUAUGGAACCAUGGGAGCUAUAGUUUUACAAGGUCUGUGCCAAUGUGUCAGUGUCUCACCGAACUUCAAAUCCCAUGAUUCCAUUGCAUUGAGCUAUGGCAGUUAAAGUGCGGUCAAACAGCAUUAAUUCUAUAGUGUAGACCAGGGGUCCUCAAACUUUUUAAGCCGAGGGCCAGUCCACAAUCCUUCAGACUGUUGGGGGGCCGGAUUAUCAUUAGAAAAAAAUACAAACAAAUUCCGAUGCACACGGCACAUGUCUUAUUUGUAGUGCAAAAACAACAACAAGAAGAAGAACAACGAAAGAAUACAAUAUUUAAAAAUAAAAACAAUUUUAACCAACAUACAUUUAUCAGGAUUUCAAUGGGAAGUGUGGUCCUGCUUCUGGCCAAUGAGAUAGUCAAGUUAAUUAGGGUUGUUGUUGUUGUUGUUGUUGUUGUGUGCCUUCAAGUCAUUUCAGACUUUGGGUGAGCCUAAGUCUAACAUUUAUUUAUUAUUUAUUUACUGCAUUUAUUUACUACAUUUGUAUCACACCCUUCUCACCCCAAAGGGGACUCAGAAUGGCUUACAAAUUAUAUGUACAUACAAUUUAUUAUAUUAUUAGCAUAGCACAAUAUUAGCAUUAUAUAUUACUAUAUUGAACUAUACCACUAUACUGUAAUAUUAUUAGUAAUAUUAUAAGUAAUAUAGAAUAUAUAAUUAAUAUUAUUAUAUGGUAUUAUUAUUAGUGUUAUAUAUUAUUACAAUAUUAUUAUCAAUAUUAUAUGUAUAUACAAUAUAUUAUAUUAUAAAACUGAGGGCGGGGGCCAGGUAAAUGACCUCGGAGGGCCGCAUCCGGCCCCCGGGCCUUAGUUUGGGGACCCCUGGUGUAGACACAUAAUUGGGUGGAGGACUUGAACAUUGUUAAUGUCCUUACCCCAAUUAACCUAGUUUUGGAGGUUGACGAACCAUUAUAAAUUUGGAUUUUUUAAAUCACUUCCUUGAUCACAGCAUUUAUUUUUAAUAUGGAAAAGUCUCCCAACAAUCUGCUUGAAGAUGGAGAGGGCAGGUUUCAUUCAGAUAGUUAAUUCAUUCAGCACAGCAAAUCCUUUUCUGCCUACCUACCGAGCACAUGCUCUAAAACUAGACUUUGGAGUAAAACUGCGCAUGCCCAUCAUGUGUGCACGUUCAGUAGCUACCAGAGGUAAUUCCUGCCAGUAAAUUUGCCAGUUGCGCAGACUGAGAUUUGCAGAGCUUCAACCCUGGUUUUAAUCCCACCUCCACCAAGAAAAUCUUCAGAGUGACUAUGGAAAAGUCACACUCUCUCAACCUCAGAGGAAGGCAAUGACGAACCUCUUAAACAAAUAAUGGCAAGAAAAUACUGUGAUAAGGUUGCAUGCCUCGGAAAGCCACACAACAAAUAUUAAAUCUUUAAUGUCCAAAAGAGACACAGAAAGCAAAUCCCAUUUCAAACUUAUAGAAACUGCUUGGGGAAUCACCCCACUACCCCACUUUUCAGCAAUCUAGGCACAAUACUUUAAAGACUAGCCUGGACUAACCCAAGAGGAAUCUGCACUAGAGAAUUAACAGAGUUUGAUACCACUUUAAGUGCCAUGGGUCAAUGCUAUGGAGUCAUGUGCAUUUUAAUUUUACAAGGUCUUUAGCCUUCUCUGGUAAAGAUUGAAAUUCCAAGUAGCACUGGCGGUUAAAGUGGACUUAAACUGCAUUAAUUCUACAGUGUAGACACACCUUUAUUUGCAGCAAGGAUCUUCAUCAGCUCACACGGCAUAUUUCUAAUCUAUGUAUACACUACCUUGUGAUCCUCUGGUGGCAAGGUUUUCAGGGCCACGAGAAAAUCAUGGCUGAUUUUCCCAGCAGAGCAGAUCCCCCAGCGAGCGGGGCCCAUGGUGGCAAAUGGGGAGGAAAACCAAAGGAACAGAGCCAGCGGCUGAAGGAGUGAGAAAUUUAAGCCUGAAUACCUUGAACUAUGACCUGGGCUGGGCAUCUGGCCAGUUAGUCACAAAGGGCCUAAUUGGGUGGGAGGGGAGAAGAGAGGCAGCACAAAACUAUUGCAAUGGGAAAGUUGUGAACCGCUUUUUCCUUACAUUGUAUAAUAGCUGUUUGUCCUGUUUUCCAAAACAGUCAGCAUUGGAUUGCUGUGAGUUUUCGGACUUGUAUGGCCAUGUUCUAGAAGAGAUAUACUAAGAAAAGGUCAAACGCUUAUGAUUAAUGUUUGCCAGAAUACAUUAAGUCAUGCAGCUGAUAUUGCUAAAAGUAAUUUUUGUGUGAUUUUAUUUGUGGCAAGUUUCAAAAUCGUGACUAUGGCCCCUUCUACACUGCCAUAUAAUCCAGAUACAAACCAGAUUAUCUGCUUCGAACUAGAUUAUAUGAGUCUACACUGACAUAUAAUCCAUUUCAAAGCAGAUAAUCAGGAUUUUAUUUGGCAGUGUAGAUCCAGCCUCAUUUGCAAUCAUGAAUAUGAAGCGGUAACUCUAGAUGAAAGUUGAUUUGUUUAUAUUUAUGAUCACUACUAGCCAUUUUGAAUACAAAAAAAUUACAGGUGAAUAAUUCACAAUUAAACUGAAGGCACACAUAAACAACAACAAACUUCUCUUUUAUUGACAGUGAUUUCUUCCAUACUUGUAGGAAUGGAGUUUUCAAUGAGAAUAACUUUGAAGGUCUUCACUUGCCAUUCUGUUGCUUUCUCUUAAAAGGCCAAGUGAAGGAUAGAUCAGGGGUGGUCUUGUGGAUAGGACACCCCUAUUUGCCUCCGGACUUCAUCCAGGAUGGAGUGGACCAGUUCACUGUCAGCAUGAGACAUAAUGGGACUCUCCUUCAGACCUGAAAGGCAAAGAAAAGCAGAGGGAGAAGAAAGGACCAGGAGAAGAGCUGAGAGUAUCUGCCAUGUACAACUUUAGCUGUAUCCAUCACUGACUCCAGGAGGAUCUGAGAGUUUUACCUUGAAGAAGGCAUUGUCGGACGUGCUCUGCUUCAUAGCGUAGGCCAGUGCUGUUGGGGUAGUUCAGCUUCUGGGAUGGCAAAGGGAGAGGAAACUCUUCCAUUUGGCCAUUGACAGCCAGCUGGGUUGGGCACCAGAAAGUACUUGGAAACUUCAGGAUGGAAAAAGAAACACAGGGAAAUGUAAGAGGCUCAAAUCACUACAACAGAAGCUAAGAGUUGACGAAAAGAAUGGAAAGACUGCAUGUAGGAACCUGGAUGAAUAGAUGAGCAUUAUUUGUGUAUUCCAUUUUUUAGUUUUUUAUUGGAAACCUAGAAUACUAUGCAGUAUCAAAACCUUAUGCACCACGUAAAAGAUAGAAUCUGUGUCCUGUAUUAACUAUAUAAAUAAUGAUAUGCCUAAAAUGAUAAUGCUAUCUUAUCAUGUGGGAAUGGUGCCGAACAGAGACCCCCCUUUUUGCACAAAAAGAUGAUUUAUAAUAAGGUUCACAUAUAAAUAUGUGAAACCAAGGUAGACCAGUAAAAUAAGUUGGGAUCCAAGUAGCAUGAGACAAAGUGACCUUUGGCUUGGCCAAAACUCUAACGACCCAGCUAUUGUCUGAGCUGGCAGAAGAAAACAUGAAUCUCUGUACAUCUGGGUUGAUCUAAUCAUCUCUAGGGUAGCAGGAGAAAAAAACAGAAAAACAAGUGUUGUGACUUUAUAAUGUUGCAACUAUUUCAAACCUAAAAUUGUUUCAUCUAUCUGCUUACAUGUCAUUUCUCUCUCUCUCAACAUCUCCACUAACACCGCCCCCCCCCAGCCAUGUUGUAGCCAAAUCUUUAGCAAAAAUUUAUCUUUUCUCCCUUUCACUAUUGCUUGUAUUAUUUUAUAUAUCUCUUUUCUGAUUCUGGGGUUAGGGAUUCCCUCUUCCCUCCCUUUGAGCCCCAAAGGCACUAUCUCUCCCUCUCUACCCCCAGCACCCAUUCUGGGCUGCACUAACCCUUGGGAAACUAUAACUUACCCUCCACCCUGCUUUUUCUUUCAACCAGCUCCAUGGGACGUUGGAUUCACCUCAAAAUUCUCCCCAUGGAGUUCCUUCCAUUUAUUAUUAUUGUUAUAUUACUAUUAUUAUUUCUUAUUGCCCAUAUUACCUUUCCUGGCUGCAAUGUCAUUCCCCCAUGUAUGUAUACAUGACUUUCUUGGUGGGUGGGAUGGGUUGAUAUGAUUUCUUCUUUUAUGAAUGUAUCCCUCAUAUGUCUCCCUUUCCCCAUGUCCCCUAUAUGAACUAUGAAAUGUGAAGCGCCACCUUUGUGUGACCCCCAGCCUCAAUCCCUGGAGAAAUUAAUCCCAUAACAAAAAAGACUUAACCAGGAACUCUUUGCACGGACAAUAACAAUGGCAUCGGAACAGGCCACCUGAAAGGCAUCGGAACAGGCCACCUGAAAGGGAGUGCCCCCUUUGGUAAUCCUGUCACAUUCCAAAGGGGGGACCAACUGGCGUUCGGAAAGCUGAGGUUGCCCCCACAGUUUUCCUCUUUGUCUUCACAACUGACCGAAACUGCUGUCAAGAUCUUGUCCAUCUGUAUCCAUAUUCAAUCUUUAGAAAAACUAGAUCCUGACAGCCACAUCAGACCCAAAAUGUAUAUUCUCAUUGCUGGAAAUAAUACCAGGCUGUCUGGAGGACCCCCAGAGUAAUCGACAGCCAUCAGGCACACUUUAGUCAUCUUGAUUCAUUCAUAAUCCGCUCUCCAGUCCAUUGUUUAUGGCUUAGACCCCCCCCCCCCUUGCUCCUGAUUGGCUGAGAGGCUGAAGCGGGGCUGGCUCUCUGAUUGGGUGAGGUGUUCGCGCCUCUCCUCCAGCUGAUGAAGACAACCAAUCAACAAGAAGCCAGCUGAAGGGGCGGGAGCAGGAAAUUAAAACCUGACUGCCCCAUUUCUUUGCUAUAAAGUGUACUGUAUUCUGUUGUAUGUCAUGUCUUCUUGACGAAUAAUUGCAGUUGACAUCCUUUCCAGCUAGAUCUCAUUAAACAUCUCGGUGGUUCUUU